CAUAUACUUUAUUGCGCACUAAAUUUGGAUUUUCUCGAAGAAAUGAAAUUUUAAGUCCUCAACAGGUUUUAUUUACAACUUUACAAGGGAAAGACCAGGCGUAACAGACCUUGUCGUCGUCAUAUUGUACGCAAGUAGAAAAUUUGGGGUUUAAAUAUGGUUGGUAUAUUAGACCUUCCUGAUGAAAUGCUUGUUAAAAUACUUCUCUACAACCAACAUGAUUCCAUCUUAAAUAUAGCAGAGAUAUCUCCAAGGUUUGCAUUAAUAUUGAAUCAUUCGUCCUUAUGGAUACGAGUUUAUUUUCGUAACCCUGUUGACCUAAGCACGCUGAAGAACUGUCUGAAGUAUAUGGGGUCUUAUACCCGUACUCUAAAGAUUACUGGAAAUCUGAAGAGACCACGCCCUCUCCUCAAAUCUAAUUUCUCUGACGUCUUUUUCCGAGACCUACAGGUUAAGUGUCCGAACCUUGUUGAUCUGAGAUUAGAAUAUAUCUAUUGUGAGAAGAGAUCUCCUCUGAAAGUUAAAAAUCUGCCAGAUGGUCUGGAGCGACUGAGAUUUGAUACUGUUGAACCGAUCAGUUUUCGAUUUAUUGAUUUAAAAGAGAAAAUCAGGAAUCUAAGAGUUCUGGAGCUAGUUCGUUGUCCCUGGUUUACUGCUAAUCUUCUAUAUUUUCUGAUCUGCACACUCCCACACCUACAAAACAUAAGUGUGAGUAGGUGUACAGGCCUGCGAAAGAGCUUUGUUGCCCAACCAAUGAUGUACCCGGCGCCUCCACCAGUUUUGCGGAUAUCGAGUACGUUUAAAGAGCUGAGCUUGGUUGACUGCUUCUUGUAUGACGGAUUCCUAGGAGAUAAUUUCUCUCUGAACCUGCUCCAGUCUCUACAGAGCCUGGAUCUUAGGGACAACCCUGAGUUUACGAAUAGAGGAUUGGAUAUAUUCGCUUCCCAAUUAGUGAAUUCCAACCAGGAAGGUAUAAUAAAGAAAUUAAAUCUUUGUGGAACUGGAGUAACUCAAGACGCAGUAGAUCGAUUCCGUUCCAAGUUCACCAACUAUACAGUUGAUAUCUAAUCAAUUCUGUUCCAAGUUCACCAGCUGUACAGUUGAUGUCUUAUAAAUUCUGUUCCAAGUUCACCAACUGUACAGUUGAUAUCUAAUUAAUUCUGUUCCAAGUUCACCAGCUGUACAGUUGAUGUCUUAUCAAUUCUGUUCCAAGUUCACCAAAUAUACAGUUGAUAUCUAAUCAAUUAUGUUCCAAGUUCACCAGCUUUCACCAACUGUACAGUUAAUGUCUAAUCAAUUCUGUUCCAAGUUAACCUAUUUUACAAUUGAUGUCUAAUCAAUUCCGUCACAAGUUCACCAACGAUAUGUACUCAUAGUCAAUUACGUUCCUUAAUUAAUUUAACAAUUGAUUUCAAAUUUAUUCCGUUCACUUCUUUACAGUGUGCAGUGUACAUUACGUUAAUUAAGUCCGUUUAAAGUACAAUAGAGAUAUUAUUAAGUUUCAAGUUUCUAUUGUUCAAAAUAUAUACAUUGCAUUAAUCAAGUCCGUUUAAAGUACAAUAGAGAUAUUAUUUAGUUUCAAGUUUUCUAUUGUUUAAAAUAUAUACAUUGCAAAUAUGUACAAUGUAAAAUAUACAUAUGCAUACUUUAGAAAGGAAAUGAAUCCUUAAACAAGUUCCAAGUUCAAAUCUAAAAAGCAUAUCUCAAAGAACCUUUAUUUUUACGGCAUUAUUCCUACGUCACAAUGCUCGUCACUUCUAAACCAAACCAAUAUCAGCAGAAUAAACGAAUGUUUAUUUUUAUAAUGUGUGAUAGUUGUAAAUUGUUUGUGAUACACUGUGAUACUAUUUCUUUCUCACUGAACCUAUAAAAAUUGUAUACAUUUUUUUUUU
rnacentral:misc_RNA from 1 species